GCUCUUGUGGCGGAAUUGGUAGACGCUACAGACUUAAAAUCUGUUGACCAUCUCGGUCGUGCCGGUUCAAUUCCGGCCAGGAGCACCA
rnacentral:tRNA from 1 species